CCUACGGGAGGCAGCAGUGGGGAAUAUUGCACAAUGGGGGAAACCCUGAUGCAGCGACGCCGCGUGAGUGAAGAAGUAUUUCGGUAUGUAAACCUCUAUCAGCAGGGAAGAAAUAAAGUCCUUCGGACUUUGGACGGUACCUGACUAAGAAGCCCCGGCUAAAUACGUGCCAGCAGCCGCGGUAAUACGUAGGGGGCAAGCGUUAUCCGGAUUUACUGGGUGAAAAGGGAGCGUAGACGGCAGCGCAAGUCUGGAGUGAAAUCCCAUGGCUUAACCAUGGAACUGCUUUGGAAACUGUGCAGCUGGAGUGCAGGAGAGGUAAGCGGAAUUCCUAGUGUAGCGGUGAAAUGCGUAGAUAUUAGGAGGAACACCAGUGGCGAAGGCGGCUUACUGGACUGUAACUGACGUUGAGGCUCGAAAGCGUGGGGAGCAAACAGGAUUAGAUACCCCAGUAGUC
rnacentral:rRNA from 1 species